CAACACACGUUUAUCAUUAAAGUAGGCUAUGUAGAUAGCUCAGACCUUUGAAUAACAUCCUAUUUUACAUUCCUUUGAACAACACACCUUACUGUUAAGCCUAACAUGAUGCAAAAGCAUGGACUAUACUAUAUGUGUAAUUCAAUCUUAACCUAUAGUUAAUAAUUUAUAUUGCUGGAUACCAAACUCCUUGUCAACCAAUAUACAUUAUGUAUAAAUAGCACAUCCUAUGCGGCAUUAUAUUUUUGGCAUAUUAAUAAUUACAGCCCUUUGUCAAUAAUGCACUUCUGGAUAAAGGCUGCUGCAUAUCAUUUUAGUUAGAUGGAUUGUUUGACCAUACUUCACUACGCUGCAAGUUGUUAAAGGGUCGGGGGUGGACAGGACUGGUUUCAUAUAUCACACGCCCCUGAUGCGAACUAUGACCUGGAAUCAAUCAAACUCCGGUGACCAGAUUCACUUUGGAGUGCCUGGGCAACUUCGCCGCUGCAUCUCCCAAGUGAUAUAUAUGCAUUGCUAAAUUCAUGCGGAGGUAUAAUGGCAGAGCAAAUUAUUUGUGUACACCAGAUGUUGACAGUAAAUGCACGUUCACCUGUCGAUCAGGACACACGUGGCUUUGGAGAGUGUCCGUAUCAGAGCUUCGGUCAAUAGAUUAAAUGAAUGAUUAAUGUUUUAUCAUGUGACGCAAACUAUCCCCACUUGUGUAGCGUCGACAAUCAACGGUGUGAAAAGUCACACCAGAGGUGUUGAAUUACCACGGCGCAUUCCACACCCUCCACCUCCAUCUCCUGCAGGUCUGAAAAAUUCCCUGGAGGUGUGCGUGGUGGGGAAGAUGGAUGCGAGGAGGAACAUAUUACAGAGCUCUUUGAGAGGAUUUUGUCAGCCGUGCUGCCGAUGUCCGACAUUGGUUUUUCUCUCCACGUGCUGGGAGCAUCUUCGGUACCACCUGACAGCAUGUCGGAGAGCUGACUCACCUGCCACAAGUAAACGGUGAGAGCAAACAAAAGUGUCUGAUGAAAACCCAAGCGCAUGAGCACGGAGGGCACUCAAAGUCUGCAGGGGAUAGGUGAAAAACGUGCAUUGUGUCCUACCUCGUACAUGUAACUCAUGGCACGCAUGGUGAGUGUCUCCUUGCGGAUUUCCAGCGAUCCUAUGCCACUAUGAGGUCUUUGAAGUACAGUACAGUAAUGUAGAGGUGAACAUAUCCCCCUGUUGUCAAUACUUUGCUGAAUGAGGGUUUUUUUUUUUCCAUUCCACGUGGAUCUUGGGUUAUUUGACCAUACUUCAUCAUGCUGGCCGGGACGAGUUGGUAAACAAGGGGUGCAUCAUAUAACCGGGAGCAUAGAAGUACAGAACAACAAUCGAUGUUGCCACAUAGUCUAUAACACUCGUUGUGCAUGGCGGUCACCCAUCCAAUCACUAUCCAGGCUCAGCGUUGCUUGGCUUCCAAAAUCCGAUGAGAUCAGGUGCAUUAUGGGUGACUGUGUCAGUUUUGAAAUAGCACUGCAUCAUAUUAGUUAACAAAAGUAGUGUUUUCGCAUACAAUAGA